ensembl:lncRNA LINC01674 long intergenic non-protein coding RNA 1674
AGACUCGUGUGUGGCUGCUUGCGCAGCUGCUCCGUGCCAGGCUUGGAGGACCAGGAGAAGGGGUAGUCACUUGCCACAGCUGGAGGCUGGAGCGUGUGGCACCACGGCUCGCCUCGCUGUGGUGGGCGCUGGCGGCAGAGACGGCAGCUCGGCUGGACUGUUAAACAUUAUGUAAACGAAAGUACAGAACCCUGGCAAAAUUGAAAGGCCCCAAUAUUAUUGGAACUCUUUUAUGAUUCAGCUUUUCAUGGAGUUCUACUUUAUCAUGAAAUCUAGCACACUGGUUCCUUUCAAUUAAUCCCUGAAGGUUAAUAUUUUUGGACCACAGUUGACCUGAGGUAACUGAAACUGCUGAAAACAAAACCAUGGAUAAGGGAGAACUCUUGUAUUAUCACAGAUUAUAUCAAAACUAUGGCUCUAGGCUUUUUAGAAGAGUUUAACAAGUGGAGCUUGAAGCUCUGUUUUUACCCUUUCUCCGGGCUGUUAUUGUCAUACAAAUUACAUCUUUAUACAUGUUGUGCUGAACAACAAGUGGAUUUGUAGGUGUUUCUUUGUGAAGUUAUCUUCUAAAUCAGAUUUGCUGAGAUUUGUUUUGUGGCCUAACAUCUGAUCUACCCUGAAGACACUUCCAUGUGCUGAUGAGGAGAAUGCAUACUCUUCAGCUGUUGAGUGGGAUGUUCUGUGUAUAUCUGACUCAUCUUCCUUCUUUGAUGACAAGGGCUCUAAAGUGAGUCACCUAAACUGCAGUCUGAGGAGGAGUCAAGGGUACUGCAAAUGUGAGAGCCAGAUUCAGAUACUGGCAUGUGGAACAAGUUGAAGAAUGGCUAAUCUGACGUUCUGUAUUUAUCCAGAAAUUUUAACUAGGCUCCAUGAGUAAGGCUUUGAGGGCACAGUUCAGGGCUUAGCUGAUUCCCCCCAAAUGAGCUCUACUACCAGAAAUUCCCUGGUAGAGAUUAUUUAUUCUCCAGCUUUAGGGCUUUUAUUAGAUGAAAUGUCUUACUUCAUGCUUUAAUUUUAUGGUUCUAUUUUUAACAAUUUCCUGAACAGUACAUUCUACCAUGUCUCAAAAUAAACAAUUUGUUAUAUUUUUAUAAA